rnacentral:tRNA from 1 species
GCCGAUGUGGUGGAAUUGGUAGACACGUGCGCUUGAGGGGCGUAUGGAGCAAUCCGUGGGAGUUCGAGUCUCCCCAUCGGCACCA